AAAAAAAAUACAAAAAAUGUUAAAAA
rnacentral:sRNA from 1 species